rnacentral:pre_miRNA from 1 species
AAAGUACUCCCUCCGUCCCAAAAUUCUUGUCUUAGAUUUGUCUAGAUACGGAUGUAUCAAGUCACAUUUUAGUAUUAGAUACAUCCGUAUCUAGACAAAUNUUUUAGUAUUAGAUACAUCCGUAUCUAGACAAAUCUAAGACAAGAAAUUUGGGACAGAGGGAGUAGUUG